UGGGGAAUUUUCCGCAAUGGGCGAAAGCCUGACGGAGCAAUGCCGCGUGGAGGUGGAAGGCCUACGGGUCGCCAACUUCUUUUCUCGGAGAAGAAACAAUGACGGUAUCUGAGGAAUAAGCAUCGGCUAACUCUGUGCCGG
rnacentral:rRNA from 1 species